CACUCGGACCGUGCCAGGAGUGUAGCCUGCCCCGUUUCUCCCAGCCCGGUCCUCACGUUGGAACGCCGUGAAGGCGAAUAAGGCGGACAUACUCGUGACUCGCAGGCGAUGACCGUUUGCCAGAGACGCAAAGAUGAGCAGCAGCUUCCCAAGCAGCCGGACCGCGCGGAGAAACGCACCUCGUCUGCAUUCAUCCUCGAAAGUAGUGGAACAGGUUGUAUGAAGCGUACCGGCAUCAGCAACGGCGGCGUCAACGCAAUUUCCGCGGCAUCGCCAGGCACAGCGGUGCAUCGCCCAGAUGCAGCGCUGCGUUCAGUCUGUUUUUAUGGGCUACCGUAUGCAUUCGCCCCGUGGCGCUUUUUUGUAGUCAAACCUACCUACUUGACGGAGAACCUCCACAAGACUGUGCUCCAGUUGCAAGCUGCCUCCACCUUCUACGAUGACGACAUCGAUGUUAUCCAGAAGAUCAAACACGCUCGAUUCGCGCAGUGCGCGGA